AAUGACUUGGGGAAGAGCUAAAGAAGACAUAUUGUUGUUAACAGGAUGGACACCACCUCAAAGGACCAGCACCCUGAAGAUAAUAGGACCUAGAAGAAACCACACUCUGAUAGAGCAGUGGUCUCUCUGUAUCCUCAGUGGCUGCAGAGGUUUUCCUGCCAUGCCAGGGAACCCCGCUCCUGAGUGGCAUGGAGCAGCUACCUCCCUUUUAGAGAGGUAUGUAGAUGAUGCUUUUCUGAUUAAUGAUGCUGAUCACAUUUGUUUCCACUGGAGGAACUUGGAAUCAAUGUCUGCAGAAUCCUCAUUUAACCUAGGGAACAGAGGUGAUUGCCUCUUGGUCGUGUGGACGUCAUGGUCACUGAAAACAAGGAUUUGGUUUCACUGACUGCUUCGGUGUGUGUCGGGGGUACAACUGCAUUGGGCUCUGCAUUAGAAGUGGGGACUUAGACGCAUCCUGAUGAAGAGAAUUCUAGCAUUAACAUCUAUCUAUAUCCCUUUCUUUCUAUUUAAUGUAUUUCUUUUAAAGAAUAGUCUCAAGAGUCUGUGCUUCUUGAGGAGGGUUUCUUUCUGGAAAUCAAGAUGUUAGGAUACCUGUAUUGAUUUAGGGUUUCCAAAAUUGAAAGGCUGUGUAUAUUUUUGGGGAGAAGAAAAUGGUUUGAGCAAAUAUGUAAUAUCCUUGCUCCAUGCCUUUGUUGUCUUAAUCUAUAUCUUAUAGACUAUUUGGUGUCACUUUCUAAAGGAGGUUGGAGACCAUCAAUUGAACAAUCACCUUAUCUCCCUCUGGACUUCCCUCACUUCCACCUCAGCAAAGUUAUCAAGUGAGUUUCAUUUUCUGUCAGAAAAUAUGUUAACCAAGUUUUAGUUUGGAAAUUGUAAUACAUUUGGGUUGCGACAUUUUUAUUGAUAGAGACAAAAGGCACUUUAUUUAUAGAAAGGCCUAGAGAAUACAAAUCUACACCAGACCUCCUUUAUUGAACACUAAUACACUCAAAGUAAAUAGCCACCGAAGGCAUUUUUGGCUCUUAUAUGUGAUAGCAUGAUUUGGAUAGUUCACACAAGCAGCCCAUGUGUUGAAAGACUCAGGCUGGUUGUUGACAGCUGACUUCACUUAAAUAUUCCAGUGGGCAGUGCAGUAGACCAGACAGGGAGAGUUGGUGUGGCCUUGGUGACUCUCAUGCAAGCUAUUAAGGAGAUGAACACCCUUUUGGUAGGUUAGGUCCCUGCUUUCCCAGAAAUACUGAAAUUGAUGGGAAGGUGGGAUUUAGUCAGAUGAAGACCCCCAUUCUUCCUUGCAAAGAAGAUCCUGCGACACUUUGCUCACUCUUGAAAAGCUGUUCCCUCAAAGUUUCACUCCUUCAUGCCACCAUUGCUAAUACAAUUCUCUCAUUUCACUUUUACCCUUUCUGAUUUGUCCUGGGAUUCAGAAAAUGUCAAGCUUGAUACCAUCUGAUUCUUUAAAUGAGAAUUAUUAACUUUUUCUUUUUUUUUUCUUUUUUUUUUUUUUUAAAGAUUUUAUUUAUUUAUUCAUUCAUGAUAGACAUAGAGAGAGAGCGGAGGCAGAGACACAGGCAGAGACAUAGAGGGAGAAGCAGGCUCCAUGCCGGGAGCCCGAUGUGGGACUUGAUCCCGGGACUCCAGGAUCACACCCUGGGCCAAAGGCAGGCGCUGAACCGCUGAGCCACCCAGGGAUUCCCUGUUAACUUUUUCUAUGUAUAUAUACCACAUGCACAUAUUUUUUCCUUUUUGGAAACUUAAAGUCACAUUUCUUUGUGAAUUGUUUUUUGUUUGUUUUCUUUUUAUUUUUACCUAAGAACACACUUUGGAUAUCUUUGCACAUAAGUGUCUUUCUACAGUGUCACUCUUAGCUGUGUAUGUAUGACAAAUAUCAUUUAACCAACCUUCCCAGUGUUGGGUAUUUGGUAAACUUCAUUUUUGUCUUUGAUCCAUAGUUACUAUAUCACAUAGGACUGUGCCUAAAUCUUUGUGUGCAUUUCUUGACUAUGUCUGCAGAAUAAGAUUCUAGAAGUAGAAUAGCUGAGUCAGAGUAUUAAAAAUUUUUAAUAUGUUUAAUAGAAUGACUCUACCAAUUAAUAUUCCUACCAGUUGUCACAUAUGAGAAUACAUUUGUCUUGACAUCUUCAAUGUUGUCAUUUAAAAUAAAUUAAUAAUGAUUU
rnacentral:lncRNA from 1 species